ACCGCAUCUCUUAUCAUCAUCUUCAACACAAAUGGAAAACAACAAACAAAAACUCCAAAAUAGGAACUGAAGAAUGACCUUCCACACGGAUACAAAGCAGCCAUCACUCAUCUCCCCCCGCCGUAAAACACUUAACACACAGCCACACAUACGCGAGAGAACGGGAAGCUGCAUCUGCUUCAUGAAGUCAGCCGAAAUCACACAUGAGACCUUUCUUUUUAUGUAACAAAAUGACAGAUGCUAAGACUUAAGGCACACAACCAUUUCUGAUUUGAGAACACAACACCCCUCCUCGUCUCUGUUUCCUCUUCUUCACUUCACAACCAAGAAAGUUCUUUCAAUACAACGAACCAACCAAACUUUAACUCCAAAUCGCUAUCCCAUGUCAUGGAGUUUGCCGAUUUUGUUUUUCGGGUUUAGUUUGAGUUCUCCGCCGAGUUUCGAGGUGUCGAGGGUCGUUUGAGGUUGUUGCUGGUUUUCGGUUAAGGUUCGGAUUCCAAUCGUGUAAUAAAGUCAAGCUUUUUGAAAUACAGAGCUCCAACUUUGAUGGUGCAUUUUCUAUUUGCCUUCUCUUAUCCUGUUUGGAAAGGUCAGGUAUUCCUCUGUCUCUUCAUUUUACUUCACUGUUAAGGUGUUCUUUAGCGUGAGUAAUUGGAAAAUUGAAAGUUUUAAAUUUCAGUUUAUUCUCCGGGAUGAAUCGAUUCAUCUCUGGCUUCUUAUACAUUUUGCAAAGCAUGUUUGCUGAUAUUAAUCCUGUUCUAAUGGAUCUUAUAAUCCUCUUUGACUUGUCUACGACAAGUACUUGCAAUGUAUGCAAAACAAAAUGACAUAUGGGAAUUGAGAGGCAUGGGAAUUGAGAGGCAUAGAUUCUGCUGUAUAUUUUAAUGUCAGCCAUGUUCUAUAUUUGACGUGAAGAAUCCAUUAGCUUAACUGACAAGAUUUCUGAUAACAAAUGCCAAACUGUUUUGUUUUUGUUAUAAUUGAAAAGGCUUUCUACGAUGUCAUGUGCUCUUUGACUUUGGGUGAAGUUUAUAACUAGUUUUUGUAGUCAUAAUACUUCUUUUAGCAGAAUAUUUGCAUAUUAUUUAAUAAAAAUGACAAACCAUAGCUUUGCCUUACGAUGAUUUUACUUUAUUCAGGGUUGGACUUGCAGUAAUUGUUCACUUACAACAAGUUUGACAUGAUUCUUCUUUAGUUGUAGUAAUGGCUCUUCAUACUUUGCUUCAUGCAUAUAAUUAGUUUAUCACGAUUACGAGUACGAUUUUCGUGACAUAGCUGUUGUGCUAAAUUUUAAAUUAGCUUUAAGUAUGAGUAUCCAUAGCUAUUAAAAUUAGUUGAAUAGAUUUAGGGCGUGUCGUACUAAGUAAGAUAUAGUUAUGGCCCUCC
rnacentral:lncRNA from 1 species